rnacentral:rRNA from 1 species
AGCGAACGCUGGCGGCAGGCCUAACACAUGCAAGUCGAACGAACCUUUCGGGGUUAGUGGCGGACGGGUGAGUAACACGUGGGAACGUGCCUUUAGGUUCGGAAUAACUCAGGGAAACUUGUGCUAAUACCGAAUGUGCCCUUCGGGGGAAAGAUUAAUCGCCUUUAGAGGGGCCCGCGUCUGAUUAGCUAGUUGGGUGAGGUAAUGGCUCACCAAGGCGACGAUCAGUAGCUGGUCUGAGAGGAUGGUCAGCCACAUUGGGACUGAGACACGGCCCAAACUCCUACGGGAGGCAGCAGUGGGGAAUCUUGCGCAAUGGGCGAAAGCCUGACGCAGCCAUGCCGCGUGAAUUAUGAAGGUCUUAGGAUUGUAAAAUUCUUUCACCGGGGACGAUAAUGACGGUACCCGGAGAAGAAGCCCCGGCUAACUUCGUG